rnacentral:lncRNA from 1 species
CUUCAAUAGACUAAUCAACAUUGAUGAUGAUUAGCAAUUAUACUGCAUCAGGCGCCCAACUUUGUUCUUCAAAGCUGUGAUAGCUCUAAUCUCAUUUGCAGCUGUGAUAUGGGGCUCUACCAUAGGCACCACUCCUGACUUUCAGAGAAGAUUUUCAAUGCCACCUGAACAUCAAUGACAAGACAAGGUCACCAGAAAGGAUUCUUGGACAAGAUCAGUUAAAGAAGCAGACUCACAAGGUGCCUCGCACUGUUUGGGUGAUGGCCAUCUAUAUCACAGGAGGAUAGACUCUGAAAUUCAGAGCAAGAAGAAAGAAAAUUCUCUGGGCUCAGGCUCCUCAUUUUACAGGGCCUGGUGACUAGGAAGCCCCGAAGUGAAAUCUCAUUUCACUCAUAGCAGCAGAUGCAAUUGUCUGAAUUCACUUAUUGGCUGUCUGAGUCUGAUAAUUUCCUAUGCUUGGGCCGCAGUGAGAGUUCCUUUUGAUAUCCUACGCAAAUCUCGCUAGAUGCAAAACCUUG